GGCAGGAUGGUUUAGUGGUGAGGGCACUAGCCUACAACUUGAGGGUUGUGGGUUCAAGUCCCAGCUCUGCCA
rnacentral:tRNA from 1 species